ACAGCAGUAGCCGCGGUAAUACAGAGGGUGCGAGCGUUAAUCGGAUUUACUGGGCGUAAAGCGUGCGUAGGCGGCUAAUUGAGUCGGAUGUGAAAUCCCCGAGCUUAACUUGGGAAUUGCAUUCGAUACUGGUUAGCUAGAGUGUGGGAGAGGAUGGUAGAAUUCCAGGUGUAGCGGUGAAAUGCGUAGAGAUCUGGAGGAAUACCGAUGGCGAAGGCAGCCAUCUGGCCUAAUACUGACGCUGAGGUACGAAAGCAUGGGGAGCAAACAGGAUUAGAUACCCGCGUAGUCCCUGUCUCUUAUAC
rnacentral:rRNA from 1 species